rnacentral:rRNA from 1 species
GAUGAACGCUGGCGGCGUGCUUAACACAUGCAAGUCGAACGGUGAAGCAGAGCUUGCUCUGUGGAUCAGUGGCGAACGGGUGAGUAACACGUGAGCAACCUGCCCCUGACUCUGGGAUAAGCGCUGGAAACGGCGUCUAAUACUGGAUAUGAGCUGCGACCGCAUGGUCAGCAGUUGGAAAGAUUUUUCGGUCUGGGAUGGGCUCACGGCCUAUCGGCUUGUUGGUGAGGUAAUGGCUCACCAAGGCGUCGACGGGUAGCCGGCCUGAGAGGGUAACCGGCCACACUGGGACUGAGACAAGGCCCAGACUCGUCCGGGAGGCAGCAGUGGGGAAGAUUGCACAAUGGGCGAAAGCCUGAUGCAGCCACGCAGCGUGAGGGAUGACGGCCUUCGGGUUGUAAACCUCUUUUAGCAGGGAAGAAGCGAUAGUGACGGUACCUGCAGAAAAAGCGCCGGCUAACUACGUG